CCCAAGGUUGCCUAAGCUGUGAAUGACUGU
rnacentral:piRNA from 1 species